ensembl:misc_RNA Metazoa_SRP Metazoan signal recognition particle RNA
GCUUGGCAUGGUGGUGGAUGCCUGUAAUCCCAGGUACUCAGGAGGCUGAGGCAGGAGAAUCACUUGAACCCGGGAGGCGGGGGUUGCAGUGAGCUGAGAUAGCGCCACUGCACUCCAGCCUGGGUGACAGAGUGAGACUCUGUCUCAA